rnacentral:rRNA from 1 species
UACGAAGGGGCUAGCGUUGCUCGGAUUGACUGGGCGUAAAGGGCGCGUAGGCGGUUCGUACAGUCAGACGUGAAAUUCCUGGCUCAACCUGGGGCUGCGUUUGAUACGUGCGGACUUGAGUGCGGAAGAGGGUCGUGGAAUUCCAGUGUAGAGGUGAAAUUCGUAGAUAUUGGGAAGAACACCGGUGGCGAAGGCGGCGACCUGGUCCGAUACUGACGCUGAGGCGCGAAGCGUGGGAGCAAACAGG